rnacentral:rRNA from 1 species
AACACAUGCAAGUCGAGCGGAAACGACACUAACAAUCCUUCGGGUGCGUUAAUGGGCGUCGAGCGGCGGACGGGUGAGUAAUGCCUAGGAAAUUGCCUUGAUGUGGGGGAUAACCAUUGGAAACGAUGGCUAAUACCGCAUAAUGCCUACGGGCCAAAGAGGGGGACCUUCGGGCCUCUCGCGUCAAGAUAUGCCUAGGUGGGAUUAGCUAGUUGGUGAGGUAAUGGCUCACCAAGGCGACGAUCCCUAGCUGGUCUGAGAGGAUGAUCAGCCACACUGGAACUGAGACACGGUCCAGACUCCUACGGGAGGCAGCAGUGGGGAAUAUUGCACAAUGGGCGAAAGCCUGAUGCAGCCAUGCCGCGUGUAUGAAGAAGGCCUUCGGGUUGUAAAGUACUUUCAGUUGUGAGGAAGGGUGUGUAGUUAAUAGCUGCGCAUCUUGACGUUAGCAACAGAAGAAGCACCGGCUAACUCCGUGCCAGCAGCCGCGGUAAUACGGAGGGUGCGAGCGUUAAUCGGAAUUACUGGGCGUAAAGCGCAUGCAGGUGGUUCAUUAAGUCAGAUGUGAAAGCCCGGGGCUCAACCUCGGAACUGCAUUUGAAACUGGUGAACUAGAGUGCUGUAGAGGGGGGUAGAAUUUC